CAAGAUUUCAAGAAAACUAGCCUAAAACCCAAAUUGGGUAACAGAGAUCUUUGCGCGCGCGAGAGAGACAGAGAGACCGAGUGACCUGAAAAAAGGAUUUCAAUUUCUGUGAAUAGGCCAAGUGCGAGCCCAUAAUUUUUGUUGGGCACUGUCAGAUUAUUCUGAUUGAUUUGAUUCUGCACAAGACCCAUUUGACUCGCAAGCUUCCGCCUUUCAGGGUUUAUUUGGGAAGUUAGCUUUGGGGUUUCUUAUAUUGAAUGCCUGUUUCCAUUCUGAUCCUUUUACAGGUCUGGAAAUGUUCUGUGAUUUGAUCAUUGAUUUAUUUGUUUGAUUAUCCAACACUGUCACUCAAAGGUUAGAUGCUAAAGUAUUUAACAGUCUUGGACAUCAUUUUACAGAUUUCAAUUUCAAUAUCUACGUCACUAUUUGUGCCUGGUAUCUGCUAAAUGCAUAUAUCAAACUAGUUUAGUGUUGUGUAAUAUAAUGUUCAUGAUGUUUAGUUUUCU